UGAACGCUGGCGGCGUGCCUAAUACAUGCAAGUCGAGCGAACAGACGAGGAGCUUGCUCCUCUGACGUUAGCGGCGGACGGGUGAGUAACACGUGGAUAACCUACCUAUAAGACUGGGAUAACUUCUGGAAACCGGAGCUAAUACCGGAUAAUAUAUUGAACCGCAUGGUUCAAUAGUGAAAGACGGUUUUGCUGUCACUUAUAGAUGGAUCCGCGCCGCAUUAGCUAGUUGGUAAGGUAACGGCUUACCAAGGCAACGAUGCGUAGCCGACCUGAGAGGGUGAUCGGCCACACUGGAACUGAGACACGGUCCAGACUCCUACGGGAGGCAGCAGUAGGGAAUCUUCCGCAAUGGGCGAAAGCCUGACGGAGCAACGCCGCGUGAGUGAUGAAGGUCUUCGGAUCGUAAAACUCUGUUAUUAGGGAAGAACAAAUGUGUAAGUAACUAUGCACGUCUUGACGGUACCUAAUCAGAAAGCCACGGCUAACUACGUG
rnacentral:rRNA from 1 species